rnacentral:piRNA from 1 species
UACGUGAUUGUCUGGUAGCCUUUG